AUUGAACGCUGGCGGCAUGCUUUACACAUGCAAGUCGAACGGUAACAGGCCGCAAGGUGCUGACGAGUGGCGAACGGGUGAGUAAUGCAUCGGAACGUGCCCAGUCGUGGGGGAUAACGCAGCGAAAGCUGCGCUAAUACCGCAUACGAUCUAUGGAUGAAAGCGGGGGACCGUAAGGCCUCGCGCGAUUGGAGCGGCCGAUGUCAGAUUAGGUAGUUGGUGGGGUAAAGGCUCACCAAGCCAACGAUCUGUAGCUGGUCUGAGAGGACGACCAGCCACACUGGGACUGAGGCACGGCCCAGACUCCUACGGGAGGCAGCAGUGGGGAAUUUUGGACAAUGGGCGCAAGCCUGAUCCAGCAAUGCCGCGUGCAGGAAGAAGGCCUUCGGGUUGUAAACUGCUUUUGUACGGAACGAAAAGGCUCUGGAUAAUACCUGGGGCUCAUGACGGUACCGUAAGAAUAAGCACCGGCUAACUACGUGCCAGCCGCCGCAGUAAAAC
rnacentral:rRNA from 1 species